CUCUCGGUAGCUCAGUUGGCAGAGCAUUUGACUGUAGUUGUUCCAGUGUGAUCAAAAUGUCCCUAGUUCGAUUCUAGGUCGGGAGA